UCGAGGAUCUUUAGCAAUGGGCGAAAGCCUGACUAUGCGACGCCGCGUGAGGGAUGAAGUAUUUCGGUACGUAAACCUCUUUCGAUGGGGAAGAAAACCUCAGCAAUAACAUUGUUGAGGCCUGACGGUACCCAGAGAAGAAGCCACGGCCAACUCCGUGCCAGCAGCCGCGGUAAUACGGGGGUGGCGAGCGUUACUCGGAUUCAUUGGGUGUAAAGGACAGGUAGGCGGCUAUGUAAGUUGGAGGUGAAAUCCUGCGGCUCAACCGCAGAACUGCCUUCAAGACUGUAUAGCUUGAGGCUAGAAGAGGAGAGUGGAAUUCCCGGUGUAAGGGUGAAAUCUGUAGAUAUCGGGAGGAACACCAGUGGCGAAAGCGGCUCUCUGGUCUGGCCCUGACGCU
rnacentral:rRNA from 1 species